rnacentral:rRNA from 1 species
UGAAGAGUUUGAUCCUGGCUCAGGAUGAACGCUGGCGGCGUGCCUAAGAUAUGCAAGUCGAGCGCCCCACCCAAUUUUGCACACUAGAUGCUAAACUUUUGUUUAUGUACUUCGUAUAUUUACUGCGAAGCCGAGCAAAUCCUAAGAAGUUAUACGUUGGAUAUACGACAAACUUAGAAAAGAGAUUGGCGGAGCAUAAUACUGCAACGAAUGGAUUUACUUCUGGCUUCCAGCCAUGGAAAAUCAUCUACUACGAAGCCUACGAAAGCAAAAGUUUAGCAAUCGAGCGAGAGCGUCAGUUUAAGCGACAUGGUAAUGUCGUGGCCAGGCUGAAGGCUAGACUUAAAGUUUAGUGUGCAAAAUUGGGUUGGGGAGCGGCGGACGGCUGAGUAACGCGUAGGAACGUACCCCAAAGUGAGGAAUAAGCUCCGGAAACGGAGUCUAAUGCCGCAUGUGGUGCUUCUCACCAAGGUGAGAAGCAGAGUUAAGAGACAAGAGUUAAGAGACAAGAGUUGUAAGCUUAAAAUGGUUGCAAUUCAUAUCUCUUACCUCAUAACUCAUAUCUCUGCCUUCUCGCUUUAGCGAGAAGCAUCAAAGCUUUCGAGCGCUUUGGGAGCGGCCUGCGUAUGAUUAGCUUGUUGGUGAGGUAAUGGCUCACCAAGGCGACGAUCAUUAGCUGGUCUGAGAGGAUGAUCAGCCAGACUGGGACUGAGAACGGCCCAGACCCCUACGGGGGGCAGCAAUUAGGAAUCUUUCACAAUGGGGGCAACCCUGAUGGAGCAACGCCGCGUGCAGGAGGAAGGCCUUCGGGUUGUAAACUGCUUUUAUCUGUGACGAUUAUGACGGUAGCAGAUGAAUAAGGAUUGGCUAAUUCCGUGCCAGCAGCCGCGGUCAUACGGAAGAUCCAAGCGUUAUCCGGAAUUACUGGGCGUAAAGAGUUGCGUAGGUGGCAUAGUAAGUCCCGAUAUAAAGACGACGGCUCAACCGUCGGAUCUAUCGGGAAACUGCUGAGCUAGAGCAUGAGAGAGGUAGAUGGAAUUUCUAGUGUAGGAGUGAAAUCCGUAGAUAUUAGAAGGAACACCGAUGGCGUAGGCAGUCUACUGGCUCAU